rnacentral:rRNA from 1 species
UACGUAGGGACCAAGCGUUGUUCGGAUUUACUGGGCGUAAAGGGCGCGUAGGCGGCGCGACAAGUCACUUGUGAAAUCUCUGGGCUUAACUCAGAACGGCCAAGUGAAACUGUUGUGCUAGAGUGCAGAAGGGGCAAUCGGAAUUCUCGGUGUAGCGGUGAAAUGCUUAGAUAUGACAUAGAACACCAAUUGCGAAGGCAGCUGGCUACACGAGCAUUGACACUCAGGCACGAAAGCGUGGGGAUCAAACAGG